rnacentral:rRNA from 1 species
UAUUAUUUUAGAUGUAAAUUAUUUGAACUUGAGUAGUAUUAGUUAGAAUCUUGAAACUUAAAGAAUUUGGCGGUAUUUUAGUCUAUUUAGAGGAAUCUGUCCCAUGAUCGAUGAUCCACGUUGGACCUUACUUAGUUUAAAGAAAUAUGUAUAUCGCCGUUUAGAGCUAAUUCUAUAAGGGUUAAUUUUUUCAAUAUUUGUAAGAUAAGUUUUCAGGUCAAGGUGCAGUUUAUAAUUAAGUGGGAGAUGGAUUACAAUAUUAAUAAAGUAUACGGAUUGUUGUUUGAAAUAAUUACAUGAAGGCGGAUUUAAUAGUAAUAUUAUAAAGAUUGUUAAUAUGAUUAUAGCUCUAAAAUAUGUACACAUCGCCCGUCGCUCUCGUUAUUUUAAGGCGAG